AAUUAUUGGUUUUGGGGCUACUCGAAUUUUAGUUCCUGGCAAUUUUCCUUCAGGUUGUUUCCCAAGUAUCCUAACGUUAUACAUGAACAAAUCCUCAACUGUCUACGAUGAGUACCAUUGCGCGGAAGAGUGGAACAAUUUUAUAAUAUCUUAUAACAAUCUUCUUCAACAAGCCAUUCAUAAGCUGAACAGAGAGUAUCCAAACAUUUCAAUUAUUUACGGGGAUUACUACAAUGCCUAUUACUGGCUUCUACAAAAUGCCGUCGCUCUUGGUGAGUGUAUAUAACUAAUUUUGAGGAAUAAUGGGGCAAUUAGUAGAGCUUCUCAAUUCUAAUAUAAUAUGCAAUUUACUAACAUUCUUUUUUUCUUCCAUAUUUUUAGGAUUCGACAAAAAGACGCUACAAAUAGUAUGUUGUGGAGUAGGAGGAGAAUAUAAUUAUACCGAAAAUAGGAAAUGUGGUGAGCCAGGAGCUGAUAAAGCGUGUGCAGACCCGAGUACUUACAUAAAUUGGGAUGGAAAUCAUUUGACACAAAAGGCAUAUGGUUGGAUAACAAAAUGGCUAAUUGAUGACAUUUUACCCCAAUUGAACUGUCAUGUUUAAAUUCAAGCUUUUAAUUAUUUUUGUGUUUCAUAAUAUUAAGGGGUCGUUUGGUUUGAAUAUGAGUUAUGAUGGGAUAAGUUGUCCUAGAAUUAUUUCUUAUUGAGUAUUUGGUUUGUUGUGUUCAAAAUAUUAUAUAUUGAUAAAUUCUAAGAAUAAAUUAUUUGUAUACAAAAUUACCCGUCACUUUAUUUAAACUUUAUUAAUUUUUCUUUGCGAGCUUUAGUUAUUCAGUUUUUAAAAUAAAACUUUUUUUUUAUUUAACUUAAAUAUUUUUGUUUAUGUAUUCCCAUGACAAGUACCAUGUGUAUUUAAAAAUAGAACUUUUUUCUUAUUUGGCUUAAAAAUAGAACUUCCCUCUUAAGUAGUUUAAAGAGAAGAAAAUUUAUGAGAAAUCAAAAUAAAAUCCUUAAGUAGUUUAAAGAGUAGAAAAUUUAUGAGAAAUCAAAAUAAAAUAAACAUAAGAAUUAGUCAAAUAAAUUCAUAAAUAAAAAUUAUAUUUAUAUAGUAUAAUUUUUUAAUAGAAAAAUAUGUAUAAUUAUCAUAAAAAUAAGGAGUAGUUAAAUAUUAUUAUACAUGGUAUUAAAAAAAUGUAAAUAUACAUAAAUGUAAAAAAUGAUGUAUAAAAAGGAUUUAAAGGGACAUAUUUGUCAUUUACCUAUUUUAUCCACCAAACGACCCUAAGGGAUCAUUCAUUAUAUCCCACGUUCAAGACGCUAUAACAAAUUAAAGUUGUGUUUUGUUUUGAUCUGCUAAAUAAUUAUGCCAUUUUUUCAAACACAACUAUAUAUUUUCACUGUUUGCUAGAAUUGUGAGCAUGGGGACAAGCAUAAAAGAACACUUCUUUCAUAAACUAAUAAUUAGCAUGUAAAUCUUAACUCAGUACUUAUGGAUAUUGUGAGCUCACUCGCUCUAAUCAAACUCAUAUUAUGAUUCUAAAACACUUAAUCAAAAUAAUGCGCCAUAGCAUGUGUAUUUGGGAGAAAAUUUUCAUCUAAAUUUCAUGAGUUAACUUUUAAUGAUCUUAAAGGGUCAUCAGAUUUUUUUUUUGUUCUUGUAUUUAGUUAAUUUGUAGAGUGUCUAAUUUGGCGUAUUUUUAAGUCUCUGUCUACAACAUAUACACACAUGAAGCCUUCUCAAAUAUGUUAAGGGCCAAGAAGAUAAUGCCCAAGUCAAUAAAUAUGUUCAGAGGGUGUUUAGAUAUUUUAAAAACGAUUUAGAAAAAGUUAAAGUUAAAAAUAGGUACUUUCCUAGUUUUUAUUUUGGCAUUAAUACAUAAAUAUGUCAUUUAACUUGGCUUUAAAUUAUAUUUAUGCCCUUCAACUUUGGGUGUGCACAAAUAGACACUUGAAUUUGGCUUAAGUCAUUAGCGACCCCUUAAAGUUGUCCGCAUAAUUCACUUAGACACCUCAACUAAGACUAGUACCUAUUGAACACUUUUACCAAUUCAAAAAUUGUUCUUUUUAGGAAUUUUUUGAUAAUCAGCAAAAUAUAUGAAGAGUGUGUGAUACACUUGCGGUGACGUUGUAAAACGGCUAAUUAAAAAAAUAACAUGUGGCACUGGGACCCGAAAAUUAUAAAAAGAAAAAGAAAAAGAAAAAAAUGAAAAUGUCAACCUAUUCUACCCAACCCCACCCCUACCNNNNNNNNNNNNNNNNNNNNNNNNNNNNNNNNNNNNNNNNNNNNNNNNNNNNNNNNNNNNNNNNNNNUUUCAUCUUCAUCUUCUUCCCAAAACACAUUCUUUCUCAAAUCACAAAACCUAAUUCUUUUCAAAUAUCUUGAAGAUUAGCUUUUAAAAAAAGAUAUAUAUACAUUUUCAUACUAAGAGUGAAGAAGAAAGAAAAUUUUGCCGGCGGUUAUUCAUUUCUACAUCGAUGACAAAAUGAAAUUGAUAGCUCAAAAAUUAAUUCUUUCAAAUUUUUGAAUAUCAUUUUUGAUAAAUUUAAUGGGUUUAUAUAUGAAUUUGAGUAAAAAUCUUUGUUCGAAAAUUGUGAUAAACAAAUAUCGGCUAACUUUUUUUAUACGUAAAAAUCAUUUAUCCACUUUCUUCUUCUUCAUAUUUGUUCCUUAUUUUUAUGAGAUUUGAAAUAAAUCAUACGAAAGUAAAAUCUGAAUCUUCAUAUUUGGAAUCUUCAUAUACGAAACCUAAUUGAUGACAUUUUACCCCAAUUGAACUGUCAUGUUUAAAUUCAAGCUUUAAAUUUCUUUUGUGUUUCAUAAUAUUAAGGGAUGAUCAUUCAUUAUAUCCCACGUUCAGACGCUAUAACAAAUUAAAAAAGUUGUGUUUUGUUUGAUCUGCUAAAUAAUUAUGCCAUUUUUCCAAACACAACUAUAUAUUUUCACUAUUUGCUAGAAUUGUGGGCAUGGGGACAAGCAUAAAAGAACACUUCUUUCAUAAACUAAUAAGUAGCAUGUAAAUCUUAACUCAAUACUU
rnacentral:lncRNA from 1 species